UACGUAGGGACCGAGCGUUGUCCGGAAUCAUUGGGCGUAAAGAGCGUGUAGGCGGCCACUUAAGUCCUGCGUGAAAUCUUGCGGCUCAACCGCAAGCGGUCGUGGGAAACUGGGUGGCUAGAGUGCGGGAGAGGAGAGUGGAAUUCCUGGUGUAGCGGUGGAAUGCGCAGAUAUCAGGAAGAACACCCGUGGCGAAAGCGGCUCUCUGGAACGGUACUGACGCUGAGACGCGAAAGCGUGGGGAGCGAACAGG
rnacentral:rRNA from 1 species